GAUGAAGAACGCAGCGGAAUGCGAUAAGUAAUGUGAAUUGCAGAGUUCAGUGAAUCAUCGAAUCUUUGAACGCACAUUGCGCCCGCCAGUAUUCUGGCGGGCAUGCCUGUUCGAGCGUCAUUACAACCCUCAGGCCCCCGGGCCUGGCGUUGGGGAUCGGCGGAGCCCCCCGUGGGCACACGCCGUCCCCCAAAUACAGUGGCGGUCCCGCCGCAGCUUCCAUCGCGUAGUAGCUAACACCUCGCGACUGGAGAGCGGCGCGGCCACGCCGUAAAACACCCAACUCUUCUGAAGUUGACCUCGAAUCAGGUAGGAAUACCCGCUGAACUUAAGCAUAUCAAUAAGCGGAGGA
rnacentral:misc_RNA from 1 species